GACGAACGCUGGCGGCGUGCCUAACACAUGCAAGUCGAGCGGGAACCUCAGGAGGGGUAACCCUUCCGAGGGGAGAGCGGCGAACGGGUGAGUAACACGUGGGCAACCUGCCCCGGACACCGGGAUAACCCAGGGAAACCUGAGCUAAUACCGGAUACUCCGGCGCGAUCGCAUGGUCGCGCCGGGAAAGCUCCGACGGUCCGGGAUGGGCCCGCGGCCUAUCAGCUUGUUGGUGGGGUAACGGCCCACCAAGGCGACGACGGGUAGCUGGUCUGAGAGGACGGCCAGCCACACUGGACUGAGACACGGCCCAGACUCCUACGGGAGGCAGCAGUGGGGGAUCUUGCGCUAAUGCGCGAAAGCGUGACGCAGCGACGCCGCGUGGGGGAUGAAGGCCUUCGGGUUGUAAACCCCUUUCGGCAGGGACGAAGGGAAACUGACGGUACCUGCAGAAGAAGUCCCGGCUAGCUACGUGC
rnacentral:rRNA from 1 species